rnacentral:rRNA from 1 species
UACGUAGGGGGCAAGCGUUGUCCGGAAUCAUUGGGCGUAAAGCGCGUGUAGGCGGCUCGGUAAGUCCGCUCUGAAAGUCCAGGGCUCAACCCUGGGAUGCGGGUGGAUACUGCCGGGCUCGAGUCCGGAAGAGGCGAGUGGAAUUCCCGGUGUAGCGGUGAAAUGCGCAGAUAUCGGGAAGAACACCCGUGGCUAAGGCGGCUCUCUCAGUCGGUACUGACGCUGAGACGCGAAAGCGUGGGGAGCGAACAGG